GGGAUGUCCAAUCGGGCCCCCAAGCAAACACAUCCAUGUGUACACUCCCAUGUUGCUUUCCCAGAUCAGUGGCCACUGCUGCCAGCCCAACCCCUUGAUUGGGGUCCUGGGUUGAGGUGUCUGGGGAAGGGCCCAAUAACAAACCUUUGAACCAAUUAGUUGUCUGAGUAGGCCACCUGCCGCAAUCUUUAAAACAUGUUAAAACUUUCAACAACGGAUCUCUUGGCUCUCGCAUCGAUGAAGAACGCAGCGAAAUGCGAUAAGUAAUGUGAAUUGCAGAAUUCAGUGAAUCAUCGAAUCUUUGAACGCACAUUGCGCCCUUUGGUAUUCCUUAGGGCAUGCCUGUUCGAGCGUCACUAAAAACCCCAUCACAGAUAAUGUGGUAUUGGUAGAAGUGAACGGUACUUACAUUACCUUGUCUCACUCUGCUGAAAUGAAUUGGCCAGAGAAGUGGACCCAUGGUAAUUGACUCCAGGAGUGUUUUUCAAUGCUAAACUAGUCUUUACCCAAGUCAAGUUCUGAGCUACCGGACCCCCCAUUAAGUCCAAAACAGAGUGGUUGACCUCGGAUCAGGUAGGGAUACCCGCUGAACUUAAG
rnacentral:rRNA from 1 species